rnacentral:snRNA from 1 species
GCUCAGAACUGGUACGGACAA